AUUAACAAUGUUGUGAUAUUUUCAGUAAAGGGACUUGGCCGGACAUAUCCACGUAUUGGAGCUUCCCUGCUGGCAGAGACGGUAAUGAAUCUGCUCGAAAUGCAGGAGACCUGGGUUCCAUCCCUGGGUCGGGAAGAUCCCCUGGAGGAGGGCAUGGCAACCCACUCCAGUAUGCUUGCCUGGAGAAUCCCAGGGUCAGGGGAGCCUGGUGGGCUACAGUCCACGGGGUCGCGGGACGCGGCUGGUUCUUUGAGUUUUCCAAACCAUACAUCAUUGUCAAGCGAGAAGAUUAAACUUAUUGUUUCUUUCUUGAACCCGCAACUCAAGGUAUGUGAGUCCAAGAUAGAUGACUCGGAACCGACACUUCUGCGGGCAGCAGGGCUUGCUGUCAGGGGAGGCGCAGGUCUGCUGAUCAAGGCUGUCUGCACGGAGCUGUGAAGCGGCUUCUGCAAACUCAAGCAUGCACAGACGCCCUGCCUGGCUCUUGGAGUUCGGAUCCCGGUGUCCCUUUGAUCCCCACAUCCUAAAGACUAACAGUCAGAAAGGUGCAUCCUUUGCGCCAAACUUGGGUGGAUUUCAUUUUUCAGCGAGCGCUCGGCUAACUUUCUGAUUUUUUUUUUUGUCCCCACCCUGCAAGUCAUUCUGUGUCUUGGCAGCCAGGAAAAUGUAAAUGAGAUUUUUUUUUUAACAAGGCAGGCCCUCAGAGGUGACCCCUCAUGGAUCUAAGCGGCAGAGUUGCAGGCGUGGCUGGGGAAGAACGCUCCGAGAACGCGGGCCCUUGUGAUUCAUCACCACCCGCCGCCUUUGGCUGGGGGGAGACAGACAAGCCUCUUAAUGAGCGGAGAUCAGUCUGCGCGGGGAGACCUCUGAUAUGUGACACCAGGCACCCACAAACCCGGCCCCGCCCCGCCCGCUCCCCCGAAAAUAGACAAAUAAAUCCGGCGGGCACCCGGCUCA
rnacentral:lncRNA from 1 species